rnacentral:rRNA from 1 species
UACGGGGGGGGCAAGCGUUGUUCGGAAUUACUGGGCGUAAAGAGCGCGCAGGCGGUCGAUUUAGUCGCGUGUGAAAGCCCCCGGCUCAACUGGGGAGGGUCACGCGAUACUGCUCGACUCGAAGGCAGGAGAGGGAAGUGGAAUUCCCGGUGUAGUGGUGAAAUGCGUAGAUAUCGGGAGGAACACCAGUGGCGAAGGCGACUUCCUGGCCUGUUCUUGACGCUGAGGCGCGAAAGCUAGGGUAGCAAACGGG